rnacentral:rRNA from 1 species
GGGCCCGCACAAGCGGUGGAGCAUGUGGUUUAAUUCGAUGAUACGCGAGGAACCUUACCAGGGCUUAAAUGUAGUGGGACAGGUCUAGAGAUAGACCCUUCUUCGGACUCAUUACAAGGUGCUGCAUGGUUGUCGUCAGCUCGUGCCGUGAGGUGUCAGGUUAAGUCCUAUAACGAGCGCAACCCCUAUCGUUAGUUGCCAGCGAGUAAUGUCGGGAACUCUAACGAAACUGCCAGUGCAAACUGUGAGGAAGGUGGGGAUGACGUCAAAUCAUCACGGCCCUUACGUCCUGGGCUACACACGUGCUACAAUGGCCGGUACAGAAAGCAGCCACUAUGCGAAUAGGAGCUAAUCUUUAAAACCGGUCUCAGUUCGGAUCGCAGUCUGCAACUCGACUGCGUGAAGCUGGAAUCGCUAGUAAUCG